rnacentral:lncRNA from 1 species
CCAGGCGGAAGCAGGCGAAGCCGCGCUCGGUGAAAGACAGGAUCUUGCUCUGUCCCCCAGGCUGGAGUGCAGUGACGUGAUCGUAGUUCACUGCAGCCUUGAACUCCUGGGCUCAAGCAGUCCUCUCACCUCAGUCUCCCGAGUAGCUAGAACUACAGGCUAAUUUCUUAAUUUUAUUAUUUGUAGAGAUGGGUCUAUGCUGCCCAGGCUGGUCUUGAAUGCCAGGCUUCAGGGAAUCCUCCUGCCUCGACCUCCCAAAAUGCUGGGAUUACAGGCAUGAGGCACCUUGCAUGGCCCAUCUUAACCAUUUUUCAGAGGCAUUAAGUACAUACACAUUGUUGUCGGGCUGUCACCACCAUGAAUUUUUCAUUUAUAGUUGGCACCCAAAUGAUGGUGGAUUAGGGAUCUGCAGCCCACUACCCCAGAGGAGGUCAUCCAGGCCAGCCUCCCAUUUCCAGGGUAAGAAUGAGAAACAGAGGCUUAGAAGAUGAGGCCAUUCUCUCGGCGGGGGGCGGGGGGGUAUGUUCUUUGCCUUGUUCUAGUGUAAGAGGUGAGAUUGGAUUGUCCAAGGCUAGGGCAGGGCAUAAGACUAGGGUUCCAUCAGGGCUGGGGGAAAGGGCAGGUGGGGUGCUAAUAAGGACUUGCUGAGUGAUCUGAUGACCAUUAUUAGGAUUAGAAUAUUUGUUUUGUCUCCUUGUGGGGACAGCAUUCUUUUGAGACUGUGCCUGGUGGGUUGCGAGCUUGCCCAGUGGCCCUGGCAGAUCCCUUGUGGCCCCUAUGCCUGCCUGCCAGGACUCAGCUCCCUCGGCCUACCCAGUCCUGCACACUUAGGCCAGUUUGUCUAUGACAAGGAGAGAGAAGAAUGGCUGUUUUGUCCACUUGAUUGCCUUGCUUUCUAGACCAUCUUGGGCCCAAAGGUCUAGGCUUUGCAAACUCUUCACUGCCUCGCUCCUUGGAGGUGCUUGGAAACUUUUUCUCCCCCUGUUUUCUCUGUAAUUGAAAUUUGCCCUUUCGUUACCUGGGCAUGAAUUAUUUUUUGCAGUGUUGUCAUUCCCUAUCCUGCUGUGAGGUUUAUCUCUUCUGUUGAUCCUAAUUAAAUAAAACAUACUGUU